AGGGAGCAAAGGGCGCCACGUGUGGCGCUUUGCGAGUACCUGAAGAAAAAGCAUCGGCUAACUCCGUGCCAGCAGCCGCGGUAAUACGGAGGAUGCGAGCGUUAUCCGGAUUUAUUGGGUUUAAAGGGUGCGCAGGCGGAAUGUCAAGUCAGCGGUAAAAUUUCGGGGCUCAACCCCGUCGUGCCGUUGAAACUGGCGUUCUUGAGUGAGCGAGAAGUAUGCGGAAUGCGUGGUGUAGCGGUGAAAUGCAUAGAUAUCACGCAGAACUCCGAUUGCGAAGGCAGCAUACCGGCGCUCAACUGACGCUCAUGCACGAAAGCGUGGGUAUCGAACAGGAUUAGAUACCCUGGUAGUCCACGCAGUAAACGAUGAAUACUAACUGUCCGGGCAGAAUGAUGCCUGG
rnacentral:rRNA from 1 species